rnacentral:rRNA from 1 species
GAAUCUAUAAGGGCGGUUCGCGCUGUACCAAAUAGAAUCAAACUCUGAAUUCCAGCUGUCUUACCUUGGCAGUGAGACUAUUUGGGAUAAGCUUUAUAGUCGUGAGGGAAAGAGCCCAGACCAACAAAUAAGGUCCCUAAAUUAAGCUAAGUGGAAAAGGAAGUCAAAAUUCAUAAACAACUAGGAUGUUGGCUUAGAAGCAGCCAUCAUUUAAAGAGUGCGUAACAGCUCACUAGUCUAGUUUUUUGGCGCCGCAAGUACAACGGGGCUAAGCUUAAUACCGAAUUUUUGGAUUUUUGAACUAGAAGUUCAUUAAUGGUAGACAAAUGUUGUAUAGGGAUUGAAGCUUGAGCGUGAGCACGAGUGGACUCUAUACAAGUAAGAAUUCCGGCGUGAGUAACGAAUGAAAGUGAGAAUCUUUUUAGCCGAUUGAUCAAGGUUUCUGGGGCUAGGUUCGUCCUCCUCAGGUUAGUCGAUCCUAAGGUGAGGCCGAAAGGCGUAGCUGAUGGGCAAUGGGUUAAUAUUCCCAUACUACCUUGUAUAUUCGAUGGGUUGACAGAAUAGGUUAAACUGGGAGGAUUAUUGGAUUUCCUUUUAAGAUUUCGAGCUUGUUGGGCAUGAAAAUCAACUCAACACAAGAGUGAGAAUCGAAUACGAUCUCAGUCAGCGAUGGCUGAGAGAGCCAGACUUAAUCACGUUCUCCAGAAAAGACUCUAGGAACAUAUACUAGGUACUCGUACCGAUAACGAACACACGUGAUCAAGGAGAAUAUCCUAAGGCUAGCGAGCUAACUACAGUUAAGGAACUCUGCAAAAUAACUCUGUAACUUCGGGAGAAAGAGUGCCCUCAUGGAAUGAGGGUCACAGUAAAGAAUGAGGGCGGACUGUUUAACAAAAACACAGCUAUAUGCAAAAUUCAAACAUGAAGUAUAUGUGGCGACACCUGCCCGGUGCCAGAAGGUCAAAGAAGGAGGUCAGGCUAGCUUGCUAGCUGAAGCUUUUAACUUAAGCCCUGGUGAACGGCGGCCGUAACUAUAACGGUCCUAAGGUAGCGAAAUUCCU